rnacentral:lncRNA from 1 species
UUUGAACUUCUGGGCUCAAAGCACUCCUCCCAAAAGUGCUGAGGUUGCAGGCGUGCACCACUGUGUCUGGCCAGGAAUCUGUAUUUUAAGAGCUCUCUCUCAGGAAUGAAGUGCUUCGUGCUGCAUCCUGCCUUCAACGACAGGAAACUGAGUUUGUUACACAAAUCUCUGGAAGAUAUGGAGCUAGGAAGAGCCGUUGCCGUCUGCAGCUACUGAACACAGUGUGAUAGCACACUUUAUCUGCCAGAGCUCAGUUCCCAACUGUACUAAGGUUUUUAAAGGCACAUUGAAGUUGCAGCCAGCAAACUUCAGUAAGCAACACAGCAACUCCUAAAAUCGCCCUAUUUGGGGAGGGGGAGGCUAAGACUUAUUAACUUCAUUAUAUUAUCGCCAACAGUGUUUAUGUCUUUCAAUUUAUGUCUUAUUAAAUAUUCAUUAUUUUUAAA